GGUCCUCAGCUUACAGAUGGCCUAUUGUGGGACUUCACCUUGUGUGAGUCAAUACUCCUUAAUAAACUCCCCUUCAUUCCUGGGUAAGAUGGCCAAAUAGGAACAGCUCCAGUCUGCAGCUCCCUGUGAGACCAAUGCAGAAGUACUGUGAUUAGUCUGUUUACUCGGAGAAGCAACUUUCCCAAGAUCCUUUAACCUGGAAGGUACAGAGCCAGGACUCCAUUAUUUUUUACUGUGCUCUACACUGCCCCCUGGAACUUCAGGGGAUUCAUCAGUAAAAGUGGGUAAUUUCUGCCUUGUUUACUUCAGAAGAACACAUCUGUGAGGACCUGCUGAAAAUGACACAGACACUUGGGGACAUCUUUGGAAGAAGCAGGAAAGUACUCAAUUGCUACAGGAUAUAACUGGCAAUAGGAUAAUUUAUUAUCUAAGAAUAAUGUUGGGCACUUUAAAUGCCACCUUUCUUCUGAAAGCUUAUAGUUCUUCAUGAAAAUAAAAGUUUUUCCAAGC
rnacentral:lncRNA from 10 species